UGGGGAAUUUUGGACAAUGGGCGCAAGCCUGAUCCAGCCAUGCCGCGUGCAGGAUGAAGGCCUUCGGGUUGUAAACUGCUUUUGUACGGAACGAAAAGGUGCCUUCUAAUAAAGGGCGCUCAUGACGGUACCGUAAGAAUAAGCACCGGCUAACUACG
rnacentral:rRNA from 1 species